AAAAAAUAUGUGUGUGUGUGCGCGUGCGUGCACAUGUGUGUACAUACAUGUACUGUUUUUUGGAUUUUUAAAUUUUGGUAUUAGAAUUUGAACCUAGGUCCUGGCACACGCUAAGCAAGUGCUCUACCACCAAGCUGUUUCAUACCUGCUGUUUGAUUUUUUUUUAAAGAUUAUUAUUGUUGCUUUUUGUUUUUUUAGAGUCAGGGACUCUUUGUAUAGCCAUGCUAGACGAUGUUGAUCCUUUUAAUCCUUCUGCCUUGGCCUCGCAAGUACUGAGAUUACAAAUGUGUGCCACCAUGACCAAUUUCUCCUUAUUUAUAAGUAGACUGUGGUAGGAUGGCUAGGACACAGUACAAAGAUGUUUGUAUAGAAGAUAAUUAUAAAGCAGUCAGUUGCUUAGGUUACCAGCAUGGUUUAAGAAACUUAACUUACUAGGGUUCAAAUCUUCGCCCUGCAAUAUACAGUGACCUUUGAUCAUACACUUUGCCAUGCCACAAUUUGUUUAUCUGUGCAAGAAAGUGAUAAAACUUUCAUCAUGACCUUGUGUAGAUGAAGUUAGUUAAUAAUAGGAAGUGCUUAUUAUGGUCCCUGGCUAUAGUAGUCACUGUGUUAGCUGCUGCAGAUAUUGUUCAUAGAAAAGAUGUGUGAAAGAAAAUAUACCUAGAAUGCUUAUGAAACAGUAAUAAAGCAAGUUUCUUUUUUGUUUUAUUUUAAAGAUAGGAGGAUCUUUGUACCCAACAUUGACAUUGAAAUUCUGAUUAUCCUGCCUUCAUCUUCCAAGAGUUGAGUUGUAGGCAUGCACUGCACCAUCAUGCCAGGUUUAAAAUGCUGCUGAGAACUGAAACCAGGGCUUUAUACAAAUUUAGCUACAUCCCAGCUUCCAGAGUGGAGUAUCUUUCCUGUAUAUAUAUAUGGAAUUUGGGCCAGGCUGCUUUUGUCAUCUGGCCCUGCCAUCUUAUAGCACCUUGGUGACCUCUGUAUUCAAGCAGAGUGGGAAAGAGAUGGAGAUGGAGGACAAAGAACAUAUCCCUCUGUGGAUAAAAAUCUGGUUGCUGAAAUGACAGUCAUAGCCUCAGCUACCUUCUGAGAAUAAAAAUCUUGUUGCUGACGCGACAGUCACAGCCUUGACUAAAGUGGAAGUCUCACUUAGCUGUUAAGGGGCUGGGAAAUGGAGUGUGUUUCUAUGGGUGCUGGCACUUGUCCCUUGGUGCCUACCACUGGGUACUUUGGGAGUUAGUUUUUGGUGGAUAGCCACCUAGCUAGCUAGCUGCACUGUCAUCUUUUAAGAUAAUAGGAUAGAUAACGUUCAUCAACUUGGGACAAUUUACUGUUUAAAAGAUAGUAAUUAUUUUAAAUGGUGAAUUUUUAUAGGGAAAUAAGUUUAAAUUUAUUACUAACUGGCAUUUUUGCCUCCUUUGGUAGCAUAUAGUUAUGCUUUGUUUUAGCUUUAUCUUUUGGAAGUGCUCUGGAUAAGACCCAGGGGCUCUUGAAGCAAAGCGCUGCUACUGCAGAGCUAUACCCCAUCUCUGCUUUAACUUUAAUAACCUUAUGUUUAACAGUUUAGAUCAUGUCUCAGUGAAGCUUAAAAGCUACCUCAUUUACAUCAAAUUCACAA